AAUACCAGGGAUUGCCAGCAAUUACUGGGAUCUAAAAAGAGACAAGACACACUAUUAGAUAGACCUUUCAGAGGGAGCACAGACAUAAGGGCAUUCUGAUUUUGGAGAUAUAGCUUUCAGAAUUUUGAGGAAAUGAAUUUCCAUUUUGUUUUGUUUUGGGGCCAUCUAAAGUGAAGCUCAGGUGUUAGUCCUGGCCCUACACUCAGGAAUCGCUCCUGGUGGGGCUUGAAGACCAUAUAAAAUGCCAUGGAUUGAACUCAGCUAUGACAAAUUGGAGUUUCUGAAAGCUUCUUUACAUAAACACUACAGUGGUGGGAACAACAAUGAAGAAAAUGAAUCAAGUAGAAAUGAAUCAUACUAGGAGUUUGUGACCCAUGGAAAGGCACUUGGAAUUACACAAUUGUUUACAUUAGAGUUUCAUGGACACAAUGUUGCACCACCACCACCACCAGUGUCAGUAUCCCUCCGCUCUUGUUGCAGCGUCUGUCCCACCCUGAUGGCAAGAUUUAUUUCUGUACUUUUUGGGAGACAUUUACAUAUUUAUACUUUAAUCCAAAUUUAUAUGUAGGUUCAUGUGCAUUUUUAUUUUUUAUCCUCCCAUUAAAUUCAUCUUGUUCCUUU